rnacentral:rRNA from 1 species
AACGAACGCUGGCGGCAUGCCUAACACAUGCAAGUCGAACGAGACCUUCGGGUCUAGUGGCGCACGGGUGCGUAACGCGUGGGAACCUGCCCUUAGGUUCGGAAUAACUCCCCGAAAGGGGUGCUAAUACCGGAUAAUGUCUUCGGACCAAAGAUUUAUCGCCUUUGGAUGGGCCCGCGUUGGAUUAGCUAGUUGGUAGGGUAAAAGCCUACCAAGGCGACGAUCCAUAGCUGGUCUGAGAGGAUGAUCAGCCACACUGGGACUGAGACACGGCCCAGACUCCUACGGGAGGCAGCAGUGGGGAAUAUUGGACAAUGGGCGAAGGCCUGAUCCGGCAAUGCCGCGUGAGUGAUGAAGGCCUUAGGGUUGUAAAGCUCUUUUACCCGGGAUGAUAAUGACAGUACCGGGAGAAUAAGCUCCGGCUAACUCCGUG